rnacentral:rRNA from 1 species
CAACGCGAAGAACCUUACCUGGUCUUGACAUCCACGGAAGUUUUCAGAGAUGAGAAUGUGCCUUCGGGAACCGUGAGACAGGUGCUGCAUGGCUGUCGUCAGCUCGUGUUGUGAAAUGUUGGGUUAAGUCCCGCAACGAGCGCAACCCUUAUCCUUUGUUGCCAGCGGUCCGGCCGGGAACUCAAAGGAGACUGCCAGUGAUAAACUGGAGGAAGGUGGGGAUGACGUCAAGUCAUCAUGGCCCUUACGACCAGGGCUACACACGUGCUACAAUGGCGCAUACAAAGAGAAGCGACCUCGCGAGAGCAAGCGGACCUCAUAAAGUGCGUCGUAGUCCGGAUUGGAGUCUGCAACUCGACUCCAUGAAGUCGGAAUCGCUAGUAAUCGUGGAUCAGAAUGCCACGGUGAAUACGUUCCCGGGCCUUGUACACACCGCCCGUCACACCAUGGGAGUGGGUUGCAAAAGAAGUAGGUAGCUUAAC